rnacentral:misc_RNA from 1 species
CUUUAAUGGAGUUCAGAAUUAGAUUAAAAAAAAAAAAAAGCCCCACUUUGAUACCCAAACCAAAGAUACACACAGGCGCGCACACGGCACACACAAUUAAAUACGGUAUUUUGCUUUCCCAAGUUAUCUCUACAUUUAGACAGAUACAGAUUACAAACAGUAAAACUUGAUAAUUUCACCUAAAAUAAAACUGAAUUUAUCUACAUUUUGUUCCCCUGUUUUUCUAAGAAACCAAAAAGAUAAAAGGCAUUUUUAAUCUCAGCCGUUUGCUAUAGCAUAUAUAAAUAAGGUAAAUGAAUAAUAUAUGCACAGAAUGGAUAGACGAUUUAGAUUUAAUUAGGAUUUCGCAUACCAUGGGCUGCUUAGAUUAGAAAAGAAAGUGAAAGAAGUUAGUGGAAGUGGAUCACCAGUGGCAGUGGCUAGCAAAUUGCAGGGGAAGCUUGAGUAACUAAAAGCGUUCAUGUUGAAUUUAUAGAUAAGGAGAGAGCUACGCUUGAGGGUGGGAAGGCAAGCUUG